UCGUCUGUAAGGAAGUUGUUUAAAUGUUUACACGACAAACUACACUUCAGUCUGGUCAGUGACACGUUUCUAUGUGCUAAUUAAAUGACCGUAAUUAAAGGUGCAUUAUGGGUCAGUGGAGACCUGUGUCUAACCUGAGAGAUCAGGCGUCUCGACAGCCUCCUGCGGUGGUGUUUCUCUUCAGUCUGCUGAUGCUAUCCAUAACAUUCGUCUGCGUCGGACUUUACUCUCAGAGUCACGACAUCAACAACCCGGACAUCAGCACUGACUGGAACCGGGUUCUGGGUUCUGUUGCGAGCUUUAAGUUCUGCACUCAUCUGAAUGACUCUGAUUUGCUGCCGGAGGAAGAUUCUCCUCCAAUGGUGGAGCAUAAAGUUCAGACCAAUAUCUCCACCAGGACCACUCAUGUUUCUUUGCUGGUGCCACUUGUGUUUACUGGGGACGUCCCGGAUGGGGCUGGCAUCAGUGUCACAGUGAUGGGCAGCCAGCUGGGCAUGAAAGGAGCCGCAGCGAAAGAAUCAGUCAACAUCUCUCUUCUCCUGCGCACUGAUGUUCCCAAUAAUCAAUCUCAUGGUGGGACGACGACUGCUCAAAUCCUGACCUGUAUCCAUUUCACUGCCCUGACCCAUGUUCUGCCUCAGACUCCGACUCCUCCAGAAUGUCCAGCGGUGGAGGAUGGAGAAAAGAGCGAAUCACCUGUCAGAGCUGUUGCUAUACAGUCAUACAAACACAAUUACCCACAAUGCUUUAGUCUGGAGUACACACCAGAUCCGCGGCUGACCGUCCUGCUAACCAAGGAUGAAAAGGCCUUGUGUAGAUUUCACCUGCUGCUGGUCAGUGCUGCGCUGCUGAUCGUCUGCUUCCUCAUGGGUCUCUGCGGGACGUUUUCUUCACGCUCACCGCGCUCCUACCAGGGGAAUGAUCUCCAAAAGCAUCGACAUCUGCAAUAGUCACAUAGCUGGUUCUGCAAAGUCGGGAUUAUUGUUGACCAGGAGCCACAAAUUGGAAUCUCUGCUGACCCCAUGAAAACCAUUUCCAGUGUCCUGAAUUGAGAGUGUACCUUCAGAAGACAUGAAGAUGCCUGCUCCUGAAAUAAUAUAUGAACAUUUGGGUAUUUAACAGUAAUUGUCCAUCAUGAACCUGCAAACAAUUAUGCAGGUUGCAUGCAGUGCCAUUUAUAGAAGAAUCUACAUGUGCCUUUAAGUUUGGUUUACUGGUGUCAAAUGAUUAAUCGCAUACAAGAUAAAAGUUUCUACUUGCAUACAUACACAUAUAUAUA